rnacentral:misc_RNA from 1 species
AGAACUACUAACCUCAGACUCAUAGGAUCUAGGGCUCAAUUCUAUCAAGUUAAUAAAUCAUAACAAGCAUCUCUUUCUGAAAAAUAACUUUAGUUCCAUGUGUACUCCUGGACUCCUGGUUGAUGUUAGACAAAAUCAUAAUACAGAUUCCUAAAGUAAGAAUAAUUACCCUACUUUAUUGACUGGGUAGACUUACUAGCCCGGCCCAUUCUAGAGAGCUGGAAAUGACUAAAUAUCCUCAUCCUAGAGUCAAAGAUAAACAUAUGAGCAAUUGAUCUGCAACAAAUUGAAUUAAAUAGACAUAGGUCAAAACUAAAAUACAAACUAAGUCUAGACCAAAAUGAUAAUAUAGUUGAUCUUUCUUUUUGCUUUCCCUGGAGCUUCUUGUUGGCUGCUUUAGUUAUAUUGGCUGCAAAUUUUAACUUGGAAAAGUUGGCAUGGAUACAUGAAAAUAGCUAAUGAAUUUGGAAAUAUGUAAUAACUCAGGCAUAUCAGAAAUUGUUGUAGCGAAUUCGGAAAUUUAACUCUGUUGAAUGUGCUUUUAGCAUUUUUAUGAGUGAUGUCCUCUGCUGCCAUCUUUUAUCUU